rnacentral:tRNA from 1 species
ACCUGGCUGGCUCAGUCGGUAGAGCAUGCGACCUUGAUAUCAGGGUUGUGGGUUUGAGCCCCAUGUUGGGUG